rnacentral:rRNA from 1 species
AGGGUUUGAUCAUGGCUCAGGACGAACGCUGGCGGCGUGCUUAACACAUGCAAGUCGAACGAUGAAGAAAAGAAUUGAAGCUUCGGCAGAAAUUCAUUUCGGAUUAGUGGCAGACGGGUGAGUAACGCGUGAGCAACCUACCUCUUACAAAGGGAUAGCCUCGGGAAACCGGGAUUAAUACCAUAUAACAUUGCGACGAAGCAUUUCGAUGCAAUCAAAGCUACGGCGGUAAGAGAUGGGCUCGCGUCCCAUUAACCAGAUGGUGAGGUAACGGCUCACCAUAGUAACGAUGGGUAACCGGCCUGAGAGGGUGAACGGUCACACUGGAACUGAGACACGGUCCAG